rnacentral:tRNA from 1 species
GCCUGGGAGGCUCAGCGGUUGAGCGUCUGCCUUCCGCUCAGGGCGUGACCCCGGGGUCGCGGGAUCGAGUCCCGCGUCGGGCU